UAGGGAAUAUUGGUCAAUGGGCGCAAGCCUGAACCAGCCAUGCCGCGUGAGUGAUGAAGGCCUUCGGGUCGUAAAACUCUUUUCUGAGGGAAGAACAUCCUGCGUAGGAAAUGACGCGGGCUUGACGGUACCUUAGGAAUAAGCAACGGCUAACUCCGUGCCAGCAGCCGCGGUCAUACGGAGGUUGCAAGCGUUGUUCGGAAUGACUGGGCGUAAAGGGAGCGCAGGCGGUUGGGCCAGUCCAAAGUGAAAGCCCGGGGCUCAACUCCGGAAGUGCUUUGGAUACUGCCUUACUAGAGUGCGGGAGAGGAAAGCGGAAUUCCAGGUGUAGCGGUGAAAUGCGUAGAUAUCUGGAGGAACACCGGUGGCGAAAGCGGCUUUCUGGCACGAUACUGACGCUGAGGCUCGAAAGCGUGGGGAGCAAACA
rnacentral:rRNA from 1 species